AUUCUGGUCGAGCGAGCAGCUCUAAAAUGCAAAUACACUUUGCAGCUUAUAACCCGUAGCGAGCAUACAACGUGGCAAUGGCGUCCUUUCUUUUGAAUUCCUUGUGAAUCAUUUUAACUUGGCUUCGGGUCAACAUGUUAGAGGUUGAUACCAACAAUUUCAUCAAGAGUCCGGCUUGAAAGCCGGUCCUUUCCCCGGGUCCUUCCUUUCGCCCCUGCACACCUGGCUUUGUCUUCUGGAACGUGCUGGCGCAGCCUGCCCUUGCAGUAUUGUUCUUGUGACUCCGUGCUGUUCAUCGCGGCUGUGGCGUACUGGUUAGAACGGCUGGCUGGAUACGCAACGACGGUCUCGCUGCGUAUCAUCGCGACUCCUGCCGUCUGCUGCGCGCCACUGGAGCGGCAUGUAGCCGCAGUUCUGCUGCCUCUGUAGCAACACGUGUCUCAGGUGUGGUCAACUCUAAUUUCUCUUAGUGAUCUCUUAAGACUUAAAUUAACCUAGCAAGGAACAUAUAAUAGUGGCCUCUUAGAUUUGAUUUCAAGUGCAAAGUGCUAAGCGUGAAAACAGGACUUCAUAGACUUUCUAACGUUUAACGUCUCAUUAUAGCAUAGUUCACCCUAGCAUAAUUACCAUAAGUAUGUAAAUUCUGUAUCAGGCCUACUGCCCGUCAUCUAUUUAUUUAAGGAUUGUGAUUAAAUGUGUAA